UACGGGAGGCAGCAGUGGGGAAUAUUGCACAAUGGGCGAAAGCCUGAUGCAGCCAUGCCGCGUGUAUGAAGAAGGCCUUCGGGUUGUAAAGUACUUUCAGUCGUGAGGAAGGUGUUAAGGUUAAUAACCUUAGCAAUUGACGUUAGCGACAGAAGAAGCACCGGCUAACUCCGUGCCAGCAGCCGCGGUAAUACGGAGGGUGCGAGCGUUAAUCGGAAUUACUGGGCGUAAAGGGCACGCAGGCGGUUAAUUAAGUUGGAUGUGAAAUCCCCGGGCUUAACCUGGGAAUGGCAUUCAAGACUGGUUAGCUAGAGUCUUGUAGAGGGGGGUAGAAUUCCAUGUGUAGCGGUGAAAUGCGUAGAGAUGUGGAGGAAUACCGGUGGCGAAGGCGGCCCCUGGGACAAAGACUGACGCUCAUGUGCGAAAGCGUGGGGAGCAAACAGGGAUUAGAUACC
rnacentral:rRNA from 1 species